rnacentral:rRNA from 1 species
ACGAGCAGAAAGUGAUUAAAUCACGUUAUCUAGAGGAAGGAGAAGUCGUAACAAGGUAACGGUAGGUGAACCUGCCGUUGGAUCAGUUCUAGUUAUA